rnacentral:rRNA from 1 species
GCGGAGAUAAUAGCAAUAUUAUCUUAGCGGCGGACGGGUGAGUAACGCGUGGGUAACCUGCCUUAAACUGGGGGAUAACACAGGGAAACUUGUGCUAAUACCGCAUAACAUCACGAGAUGGCAUCAUUUUGUGAUCAAAGGAGCAAUCCGGUAAAAGAUGGACCCGCGUCCAAUUAGCUAGUUGGUGAGGUAAUGGCCCACCAAGGCGACGAUUGGUAGCCGAACUGAGAGGUUGAUCGGCCACAUUGGGACUGAGACACGGCCCAGACUCCUACGGGAGGCAGCAGUGGGGAAUAUUGCGCAAUGGGGGAAACCCUGACGCAGCAACGCCGCGUGAAGGAUGAAGGUUUUCGGA